rnacentral:lncRNA from 1 species
GCACCUCAGGCAUUUUCAUCAUUUUUCCUUCAGAAAAUCAACAAAUAAUUAAAAUAAUAGGUAAACUUUGUCUAAAAAUUACCCAGGUCCACACAACAUCAUUGCACACCAAUAUUAACAUCACAAAAAAGUUUCAAGUGGUUUCGUGAAAGUCGUGCUACACAUCUCCCAGGCGGGUGGACAUCUCUUCACUAAAUUACUAGGACGUGUGUGAGGGAUGAGUGCCUCUGUAAAGCAACUGUAUGACCACUUUGUCAAAAUUGAUUGAAACAUUUUUCUCAACACUACACACCUACAUUAUGUGACCAGGCAAGUUUUUUUAGAUUUUUCUAGGCACCUCAGGCAUUUUCCCGAUUUUCCUUCAGAAAAUCAACAAAUAAUUACAGUAAUAGGUA